rnacentral:rRNA from 1 species
AGGAUUAACGCUGGCGGCGUGCCUAACACAUGCAAGUCGAACGAGGUAGCAAUACCUAGUGGCAGACGGGUGAGUAGCGCGUGGUCAACCUACCGUUGAGUGGGGGAUAACUAGCCGAAAGGUUAGCUAAUACCGCAUACGUCUCCGAGGGGCAUCCCUUGGCGAUAAAAGGAGCAAUCCGCUCGAUGACGGGACCGCGUCCCAUUAGCUAGUUGGUGGGGUAACGGCCUACCAAGGCAUCGAUGGGUAGCUGGUUUGAGAGAGCGACCAGCCACACUGGGACUGAGAUACGGCCCAGACUCCUACGGGAGGCAGCAGUGAGGAAUUUUCCGCAAUGGGCGAAAGCCUGACGGAGCGACGCCGCGUGUGGGAAGAAGGCCUUCGGGUCGUAAACCGACUGUCGGAAGGGGAAGAUAAUGACGGUACCUUGGAGGAAGCCCGGCUAACUACGUGCCAGCAGCCGC